UUCUCCUGGGUCCACAGAGAGAUGUUAAAAUUUUCAGCCCUAUGAGGAUUUUCCCCCACAUAGAUGAACAUAUGGCCAUUCAUAUCCCCUUAUGCCAUGGACCGACGUAGAAGUGUGGAAGAUAAGGCAUGACAAGCUAGGCCCACAUGAUCGAGCAACACUGCCCGUAUGUUGAUAAUUAAGAUUAAGCUUCAUUGAGUGCCUAUGUAAGAGAACAUGACAACGCUUGUCUCUCAGCUAAUGGCAACUGCCUUCAUCUUGGCCUUGCUAGUACCUAUGCCACCUACCAAGAAUAUUGCAGAAUCAUUCCAUGUACUAUAUUAUAAUAUUAGUUAUCCAGAGCAUGUUAGCUCUUGUCGCCAAGCUUCAAGUACGACUUCACAUUCCUCCUAUCUUGCUCUCAAAAAGAAAAUUUUACUACGGUAUGGUGCUGUCAUGGACAUGGAAACUUGGGUACAAGUUUCAGUUCCACCUGCUAAAAGGCGGCAGCUCUGACCAUAGAAUGUGCACUAGACCCAACAGUUUAAGGCAAACCUCAUGGGGCUCCAGAGAAGAUCGGCAUCCGCGCUAGCCUCAAUCUCCCACCGAGAUCAUCCUAACGUCCCAUGGCUGCAGCCUGCCAGCAACAGAAAUCACCACGGUGUCCACAAAGACAAAGGGAAAAAUAAGAACAUCAGAGGUAAACAAACCAUCACCACUGCGAAACCCACAUCUCCUGCUCCUCCUACUCCCCGUCUACCCUGUGCCCAACCAAUCCGAC
rnacentral:lncRNA from 1 species